GGUUGCGAGCGUUAAUCGGAAUUACUGGGCGUAAAGCGUGCGCAGGCGGCUUUGCAAGACAGAGGUGAAAUCCCCGGGCUCAACCUGGGAACUGCCUUUGUGACUGCAAGGCUAGAGUACGGCAGAGGGGGAUGGAAUUCCGCGUGUAGCAGUGAAAUGCGUAGAUAUGCGGAGGAACACCGAUGGCGAAGGCAAUCCCCUGGGCCUGUACUGACGCUCAUGCACGAAAGCGUGGGGAGCAAACAGGAUUAGAUA
rnacentral:rRNA from 1 species